UUAUUUUCGCAGGUCUAACUUUACAAGAGCUCAACCCUUUCCAUCUCUCUCACCUCAUCCCAUUAACUCAUCUGGGCCUCUCCUAAAUCUGCUACAAGAGCUGCUCAUAAGUCUUGCGCCGAUCCUGUUUUCCUUUCUUAAGCCUUGCACCGAUCCCCUCCCGGCUUUCCUUCCUUAAGCCUUGCGCCGAUAGUGUUCUCCCAAACUUCUGCCGUUGUCCAUCUCUACUUCUCGGUCCAGUGAGCAAGCUCAUUAAAAACCCAACUCGGCUUCUACACCAUCGAUUUUCUCAACAGGGAAGACCCGACGACUCUCUUCCUCCAUCGUCAUCGCUCAGCUCAGUCCAUCUCUACUUCUCGGUCCAAUAAGGUUUGAUGGCUUCAUAAGCACAUUCCAAGAUAAACUCUUUAAAGGCUAUGACAUGGAGAUUCAUAAUCAAAUUUUCUACACAACAAUGUGUUCUUGUGUUCUCAGCUUGACUGCCAAAUCUUUAGCCGCUGAAUUGUGUGGACUGAGUAGCAAAGUGGGCUGGACUUCUCUCAGUUAUGCAAGGUUCGACCCGCAAUGAAUUUUGCAAGUCCCAUAAUUUUUCCAAGAGUCCCACAUUGCUCAAAUAACUAUUGCUACAUAUGUUUAUAUACUCUAACAUCGAAAGGAAAGCUUGUCCCUUCGGGGACAUCCGAUAAAAUUGGAACGAUACAGAGAAGAUUAGCAUGGCCCCUGCGCAAGGAUGACACGCACAAAUCGAGAAAUGGUCCAAUUUUUUUCCCCAAAUCUAUCAUGAUUUCGUUAAGUUUCUUCCUCCAGUAAUGGAUGCAAGUAAAAAAGCCUUGGAUCCAGUUGCUCCAGUUUAUAAGUACUGUCUUGUAUCAGUAUCUAACAUAUUAACUUCAACAUGCCAAAAUGAGGCCUUCAAAUAUGUCAGUUUUCCUAUUCAGAUACAUGUUAUGAAGAAAUACAAGGGACAAGACUACUUUUUUGCUUUUCUAGUAACAGUGGGAUGUUCGAUUUUUAUUUUAUAUCUGAUGUACUAAGUGAGGAAUAGAUUGUUGAGUUUAAAGAAGCUUUUUGUCUUUUUGACAAGGAUGGAGAUGGUGAGUUUUCUGCAAUCUCCUCAAUUAUUGAUCUACCUGAUUUGGUAGCGAGUGAAGAUGGGUUUUUCUAUACACCUUAUGCUAUCGGGCCCCCUUCCGAGUCCAAGCAUUUGUAUUGAAUGGUUACAACUCUCACGCCUUAUGGGUGUUUAUCGUUUACUCUAUUUCUUAUAUCAAAUCUGCUAAUCUUUUUAUACACACUGAUUUUUUUUUAUAGUCAUUGGGUCGUGUAUCACUAUAAUAUAUUGUGUAUAUAUAAAUAAAUUAGCAAGGUGAUUCUAUCCUCUCAGUUCUCUGUUCGCACAUUUCUUUCCUCACUUAUUUUGUUCUUUCUUUGAUACAAGUUUAGGUUCAUAUUUUAAAUUAUUUGAAUAUGGCAGUUUUAAUUAAUAAUAGUCCUUUAGAUUUUCCUUGUUUUUAACGUUAUAUAUGGAUGGUUACUUAUGGAAGUAUACUUGACUUUGAUUUUAUCAUUUGACUAUUAAGACUAUGGAAGUUUUAUUGCUAGCAUCAUGGAAAUAUGGUUGUAGCUUAUUUUUCAACAUUUUACUUCAACAUGGGAUUUGUUGUGUGUCAUCCACAAUGAUGUCUCCUAGUUAAGGUGAGUAAUGAUUUUAAUUCUUAAUCUAUAUUGGUUUUAUCUUAAUUGUCAGCAAAGCUUUGUGAAGGAUCAUUUGGUUUCACCUUAUUUUUUAUUUAUUUAUUUAUUUUGCUUUAACUUUAAUGCUGAAAAUGUGUUUGAGAAAAUACCCCAUAGAAUGACAAUUGUGUUCAUAGUUUUUUUGCAUAGUGGGUUUCACGAUAAUUUAUUUUGAUGUUUUUGUCCUUUGUCUUAUUGAUUAUAGGCUACAACUUUAGCAUAUUAUUUGGGUUGUGUUCAUUUUUGUGUUUGUGUGAGUUUUUGGAUUUUUCAUUAACUUUACUGCAUAAUUAUUUAUUUUACAGCAAUUUUAUAGUCUAAUUAUUGAUUAUGAGCUCUCUUUUUGUUGUUUGGUUUGAUAGUACUGAUACUUUACAAGGAUGAUUGGCCUAGCUGCUGAUUAUUGUCCAAGAUUCAUUCUAUAAUUAAGACAGAAAGUAUGCUUUUUAGUUUGGAAAAUUACAAGAGAUGAACAUCCAUACUCUAAUUUUAGUCUUACAAGAGAUGUGUUAUAUUUUAUUUUCAUUAUAAAUUCUAUCUUAUGUUGUUUAUCCUUAUAUAAUGCAGAUGCUAAAGAAGCUAAGCAAACAAUUACGUGGCGAGGAUUGGAAUUGGAACAACUUAAACACAUUAUGUUGGGCAAUAGGGUCUAUAUUUGGGUUUGAUUAUGACUGUGUUGAUUCUUUAUUUCUUCUCCAUAGUUAUCUUUAGUUGAUAUUUAUGAAAUGGGUUAUCUUUAUUGAUUAUAAUUGCUUGGGUUAUAUGUCAACCUUUAGAAGACCUUGAUUGGAUAUGGAUACAGAUUGUUCAAUGAUUGCUUAUAUUGGAUCUUUUUUCUUUGUAUAUUUUACUAUAAUGGCUUUGCAACAUCACCAUAAUCUAGCUCAUCCUAUUGUAAAUUAUGAAAAUUUGGUUACAUUGGAGCCCUAGAAGCUCUCAAGAUAUUUAUUAUAUUCUUAGUUUUGUAAAUUGUUACAAGCUCCAUUAAUAAGAUCUAGAUAAUAUAUUGUGUGCUUGUGCUUGAUUAUUUGUAUUUCUGAACACUGCCGACCUAGUGUUUUACAUACUCAAAUUUUUCUAUAAAUGUUUACAUUAUUAAGUCUUCCAGAGUAUCCAAUGGAGUUCUAUUCCAAGAUAAGAACUCAUAUGGUUCUUUCCUAUCAUUAUCUUCUAGUACUUUUAUACUAACAUAUGCUCUCCCGUGUCGGGUUGGAUUUGUUGCUGUGUUUGUAAUGAGGCAUAGAGGCCAGGUUGGAGGGGGCAGAAGUCAGUUACAGCAUAUAGUGAAUGUAAUUGCUCUAAAUAUGGUUAUUGGCUGAGGGAUUUCAGAAACUAUUAAUAGACCCACUCAAAUAUUGUCUUUCCUUUGCAUUUUCAUUCUCUAUCAUAUUAGUUCUUUCUGGUGUGCUUUCUUUCUCCAUGUUGGUUGCUUUGUCCAUGGCUGAGAUUUGUUCUUCUUACCUUACUUCUGGGGUCUCUACUAUUAGAGUACCAAGCUUGCUGGCCCAAAAUGGUCACCAUUUGCUUCAUGGAUAACUGGCUGGAGAAAAAUGUCUCUUUCUCCAUCAAUUGGAGGAGAAAAUGAUUCUUAAUUUUGAAGGCUUUGUGUUGGGCAGCUGUAGAAUAUUUUGUGCUGAAAGUAGUAACUUUUUAAUAUGUUGAAUAUUUAAGACUACUUGAAUACUUAAAGAACAUUUUGUUGUUGAUGACAGUGUUGAAUUUUUUAAACUAAUUUGUAGAUUGUUAAUACAAUGUUGAAUAUUUUUACUUUUUGUUAUUUGAAAAUCAAAUUCAUUUGAUGAUGCUA